AAAACAGGAUGUCACUUGAGCAAGGUGGUCAGUCUCGUGGGUCAGCAUAAAGAGCCCUUUUAACAAUGAGCCCCCAUGUAGCCCCUAACAUAUAUGUGUAUAUAUAUAUAUAUAUCUGUGUUUUUGAAUUUGGAAUGUACCUUAAAAUAUAUUAAAAUCUCUCUGGGCUGCUAUUAAAGUUCUUCCAAGAAAUCUGCUUCUACUAGUCACAUGGGAGGCACUGUUGCCGGAAAUCGGCCUCUGCUCACAGGUGCUGAACAGAAAUGCAGAGAUGGAAUUUGGGGCGAAGGAGAAAACAAAAAACAAAAAAAAAACAGCUUUAUUGCUUUGCCAGGAAAGGAGGGUCAAAGCAGGCUAAUGCCUCAAAUACUGUGGCCCCCUUAGGAGGGAUUGGAAGGUAGUUUUAUAAUUUGGGGAGUGAAAAAGAGGGUCACAGAUAAGGAUCAGGGUAGAGGCAAGCCUGCAUUGCUUUCAAAGCUGGUGUUCAGUGGUCUGACAGUGGGUCUUCUUCCUGGAAUAAAGAAUGCUUCAUUAACAUCUUCCUUUUGAUGGGGUUUUAGUUCUGACCUUGCCCCAAAGCUGCACUAUUGUUUUUUGAUUACUCCUCUCAGGUCUCUGCAUCCCCUCCCUUGAUUAGCAACUCUUUAAACCUGCCCUUUGGAACUCAGGGAAGGUCUUGGAGUGGGAAAUGGGGGACACAGAAAGACUUGUGUGCCCAGGAGCCCACAGAGCUCUGCUCAGUUUCAACACUAUCAAACUAAGCCACUUUUUUUUGCUUUUUUGUGGGUAUGAGGGGUUAUACUUGUAUAAAUCCAGAAGGCAGAAUGGCCUUUACACUUGUGGUUUCAGUUCUUAAGAAAGAUGCCCCCUCCACCAAGGCUAAGGCUUGCACACUUCCUGAAUGUCACAUUAUUUCAUUUACCUGAGUACCUCAGAUUUAUGUGAGGGCCUUCUGUCACACUUCUUAUCUGGAACAUUCUCCUGCCUUAGGAGAAUGACCACAUGCCAGAGACUGAGCAGAGUGCUAUUAAUACCCCCUCAAUAUUCAUGAAAAAACUGGGCUUGGCACAGUUUUUGUCACAUUAUUGUCCCUUGAUUCUUAGAUGUCAUUGAUUGUAAGUUGUUUUUAACGUUAAUAUCAACUCUUUAGGCACUAAGACACAUAGCAGAAUAUGCAUAUUGAUGAAGUCAUGGUAAUAAGCAUUCAAGACAUGAAACUCUUGAUCUUACAGUUGUUAUUACUGCUGGCUCAAUAACAGGCCUUGUCUUUUCGUGGAGACCUCAUUCUCACUCUCUUGCACUGCUUUGGGAUGAACACUGCCCACCCCUCAUCUCAUCACAGAUCUCCUGUUUGACCAUCCAAAUUCACAUGUUAUGGACUGCUAUUUCUUCUCCUAAGAACCUAUCCCCAAACUGCUUCAACAUGUGGGAGCGGUUUCUCAAGAAAUGGUCUAUUCUCUGAGACAUCCCAGCAUUGGGUUUGUUGGUGAGGCAUUCCGUUUUCAGGGAAACUUUGUUUCCCCAGAUCUGGCCUUUGCAUGGAAAAAGUCCUUCCUCCUGUGCUCCACUGUGAUGUCUCCACUGUCUGUAACGUGUUGGGUGGCUGUCUUUGGAAAGGGACUUUCUGACUAUUUGCACAGAAUUGCAAAUCCUGUGAACUAGGCUGAAAAUCCAUUAGGAUUGUUCAUUUUAACCCAUGUGCUUAAAGGAAUUCCAAAUGAUAAGCUCUUCAGGAUAUUUGCUCUCAAAAAGUAUAUUUUAAAAUUCAUAAAAUCAACAUAAUCUAUUUCAGAAUGUUCACUAAAUAGAAAAAAAGUGAAAAAAAAAACUCCCCUAUAUUGUAAAAUUCAUAAUAUAGCCCUUGUUGUUAUUUUUUAUAUUUUAAUGUCAUUUUCCCUAAGUAUAAUUGUUAUCAUGUACACAUACAAAUUUUAAAAUUUGUUUCUAUUGUUUGUUAAUAUAUUAUGGGCAUUUUUCUACACUGUCAGGUAGGAGUUCUCUAAUACAACACGUAUAACCUUUAUAUUCAGCUUCCCUCUCUUCUCACCUCUCUUGACCCACUGUCAUCCUCUAGUCCAUCCAUACUGAACGACACACAGUUAUUAGACAUUAUCCUCUUCACAACCCACCUCUCACUCUGCCUCUUCCUGCUACAUCAGCCAGCUUAUGGGCAACAAACACAAUCCCCUAUAAUUGUUGAAAUCAAGAGGCUUUUUACAUAAGAACCACUUACUGGUGAGAGAAGUCCAACUAGGACUCGGGUUCAAUCCCUGGCCUUGCUCAGUGGGUUAAGGAUCCAGCAUUGCCAUGAGCUGUGGUGUAGGUUGCAGACCAAGCUCAGAUCCCAUGUUGCUGUGGCUAUGGUAUAGGCUGGGAGCUGUACUGUAGCUCUGAUUCAACCCCUAGCCUGGGAACUUCCAUAUGUCAUGGGUACAGCCCUAAAAAGAAAGAAAGAAAGAAACAAAACAAAGAAUAAACCCCAAAGAAGGAGCCACCUUUGAGUGCUGUUGUCUAGAGAGACACAGAAAACUGAGAUGUGAUAUCUCAGUUGAGAGGGAUUAGGAGAAACACCCCAUUUCUCUCCCCAACAGGCCUCUUACUUCCUACUGGAUAAACCCCAAGGAAGCACUGAUGCAGCAGGUCAGAGAAUGGCUAGGGAAGGAGAAGCCAAAGAGAGAAUGACAAUUUUAAUAACUAAUCCUCCAGGGUUGGUUUAGAUGUACUUUAUCAAGGAAGUAAGAAUGAGUUAGUUUCCUCUCUAUGUUCCCACUGCUUCCAGUGUUCCCCUUAAGAUAUUAUAUUUCAUACCUAAUUAAAAUUACUAAUGAUG
rnacentral:lncRNA from 1 species